UUUUGAGAGACUAAGCUUAUAUGUCAACAGUUACUCGUGAUCUGACUUAAAAAUAUCGUUUGAUGUUGCUCUGUAUCCAGAAAAUCUAGAUCUAUAGAUUAGAUAUUGAAUAUAGAAUUGUUUACCAGUUUAGAGCCUAGAUUAUUAUAUUUUGAAAUUCCUAUUAAAAUAUAUAUUUCGACUCUAGAUCUAUCGAAAUAAAAUCUUAGCUUUGGUCUUACAUUGGUCAUUCACUCUCAUUGACUGCUUGAGAAUCUAAAUCUACAAUGAUGAAGAAAAAGGUACUUCUUAUGGGGAAGAGUGGUUCAGGCAAGACCAGUAUGCGGUCCAUAAUAUUUGCUAAUUAUAUUGCAAGGGACACAAGAAGGCUAGGUGCAACAAUUGAUGUGGAGCACUCACAUGUCCGAUUCUUAGGCAACUUGGUACUGAAUCUUUGGGAUUGUGGAGGGCAAGAGGCUUUCAUGGAGAAUUACUUUGCUUCUCAACGUGACAAUAUUUUUCGGAAUGUUGAAGUUCUGAUCUAUGUCUUUGAUGUGGAGAGUCGAGAGUUAGAGAAAGAUAUCCACUACUAUCAGUCCUGCUUGGAGGCCAUACUACAAAAUUCACCAGAAGCCCAAAUUUUUUGUCUAAUCCACAAGAUGGACUUAGUGCAGGAUGAUCAGAGGGAAAUCAUAUUCAAUGAAAGACAAGAAGACUUGAAACGGUUAUCCAAACCCUUGGAUUGCACAUGUUUUGCUACUUCUAUAUGGGAUGAAACAUUGUACAAGGCCUGGUCAUCUAUUGUGUAUAAACUUAUCCCCAAUGUUCAACAAUUAGAAGAGAAUUUGUCUAACUUUGCUGCUAUACUGGAUGCUGAUGAGGUCCUGCUCUUUGAAAAAGCCACAUUUUUGGUGAUCUCAUACUGUGAACGAGUGCCUCACAAAGAUGUACACAGGUUUGAAAAGAUUAGCAACAUAAUCAAGCAGUUCAAACUAAGUUGCAGUAAAAUUGGUGCAUCCUUUGAUUCUAUGGAAGUUAGGAACUCCCAGUUUGCUGCCUUUAUUGAACUGUUUACUCCAAAUAUGGUUGUCAUGGUAGUUAUGUCUGACACAUCUAUACCGUCUGCUGCCACUCAGUUAAACAUCAAGAAUGCCAGAAAACAUUUUGAAAAGUUGGAAACUCUGGUCCCUAACCCUAAAUCUUCUAUCAUGGAGUCUUGAGUUUGAAUUCAGACUCAAGCAACUUUCUUUCUUUCUUUUUUUUUUAAAUACCGCGUCUGCUGCCACUCAGUUAAACAUCAAGAAUGCCAGAAAACAUUUUGAAAAGUUGGAAAGUCUGGUGACUCCUCCUAAAAGCAUGACUGCCACUUCCACUUCCACCUUACGUUGAACUUGAAAUGAAAUGAAAUGAAGAGACUCUUACUUAGGUCUAAGCUCAGAGCCUAUGAUGUAAUCAGUUCAUAAAAAUCGACUGAUUUAAACACUUACACUCUAAUCUAAUGACUCUGUAUGUUAAGAUUAAAGCCUUCGAAUUAUAGAUACUUGUAACUAAAGUUUUUGAAAAGGUUUUAAAAGAAAGUCAUAUUUUAUGUGUAGCUUAGAGGUUUAAGAAUUUAAGGUUAACCACAUAAUGUCUACUUUUUAAUAUUUGUUUUACUGAAAAAGAAUAACAUACAGGAAAUUAACAAUUCACUAAAUGUUCUUGUUUUAUAAAAAUUUUGGCUUUUAUUUUUAUGGUACUAAAGACUAUGCAUUUUUUUGAUGUAAAAUAUAAUGUUAACUAUAGAAUGAUUGUAUAAAAGUGCAGUUGACAAACUAAACUAGAUAGUUUAAGGUUAGGAUUGGAGUAUCCCACUGGCAUGUACAUUAUUUUAGGCCUAAGUUGUAGUCAUGUUUAUAACAAUUUAUUUUAUUUUUUUAAAUGUGAUAAUGAGGAUUGAUGAUUGGAAGCAGUGGCUGGUCAGAUAUGCAUAAAUCCUUUUUUUUUGUUUUUUUGUUAAGUGUUGUUUUAUUAUUAAAUUGAUAAAAUGAUUUGUAUUUGAUGUCACAAACGUUGCAUGUGACAAAGAAUGAUUUAUAUUUGAUAUCAUAAACAUUGCUAGUAACACAUAGAAUGAUUGGUAUUUGAUAUUAUAUGUGACAAAGGAUGAUUUGUAUUUGAUGUCACAAACAUUGCAUGUGACCAAGAAUGAUUUGUAUUUGAUGUCAUAUGUGACACAAUGAUUUGUAUUUGAUGCUGCAAAUAUUGCAGGUAAAAAAAAUAGAUUUUCAUUUGAAAUAUAUUUAAACACUGACCAUCCCCUGGCACCUUUAGAUCACCCUCCAAAUUUUGUAUUAUACAUAAAUCUGAACUGGUUUUAAAAAAUGUUUUUUUUUUAUAACACUUUGAGCCACUAAUUAGUUGAUAGUCCCAUCCUGACCUACAUAUUAGCUGCUCUUGUAGUGUACAUCUUUUGAUGACCAUGAAAAAUCACCUACGUUGUAAUAAAAGUCAUGAUUUAUGUUUUUAUUUGAUUUAAGCCUUUGGAACAUAAUCAUGACUUUGAACUUGUGUAUUGCAUCAUAUAUAUGUUUAUCAGUCUAAAACUGGUGUGCUUACAAAGACUCUUUAUUUUUCCCCUUCCCAUGUAGCAAAAGUGGAACCAGAAUGUCUUAAGUUUGAGGGAGUGUUGUAGCAGGUCGUUGACUUGUAAUCCUAAACUGCUGGUAGACAGUGAUUGGUUGGAAAUGAUUGAAUUAUGUUGUGAUGUCUAUUUUUUUCAUUUAAGAAAUUUGUAUUCUAAAAAUAAAAUAGACUGAAAAGAGA